UGAUGGGUACGACCCCUGCGAUGGCGUCGCAGAUUCCAAGUUCCAGCCUUUUAGGGUUUUUAGUCGAGCCGUGGGGGGGUGUUCUGCAGUUUUCGAGUGGCCGUUGCCUUGGUUCUCAAUGGAUAGUCCUUAAAACUCGAAGUAUGGUGCUGUUUGCUGCAAACUGGGGUCUUUUGUUCGCGAAAAAUGGAAGCAUUACUUCCACAAUCAACUGAAAUCUCGAAGCUUAACAGGACUGCAAUGUAUAGGAAGCAGCAUAGAAAGGAUAUCCAUGCAGAAGCUGUGAAAAAAGAGAUGCAGAACAACCGAAAGCCCAUAUUCUAGGUCAAUAGUUGGCUCUACUUUAGAGGUGAUUCAGAAGAGAACUGAAAAACCAAAAGUCGGUGAUGCUGCCAGGGAGGCUGUUCUUUGAUUAUUGAUGCUCGAAUUGCCGAUGACUGGAAGGUGGUGCGUUGGUGGCACGUCUACUUCAAAAUAUCUUAAUACUUCUAGAGCCACAAACAAUGCUCUUCGCCAGUGGACGAGUCACUUCUCCUUCAAAGCUUCUGGUCUCCUGUGGCACCACCACCUGGCGUGAUCUUGGGGACGAUUCAAGCUGAAGCUUUAAAGUAAUUUUCAAGCUAUAAACUCUCCGUUACGGUAGACUCCAACGCCCAUACCCUUCUUGUUUUAGGACGAAGCAAUCAUAAGAACCAAACGCAAAGGGAAGUAAAUAAAUAACUCCAUCUCCUUUGACAAAACCAGUAAUGUCGCAGGACUAGUUCCAUGGCCUGUUGUGUAAUUGCUGUAUGAUGACGUGCUGCACUUGUAAUUGGAUACAGUGCAAGGAUUACGAGUAGUACUAAAAGAGCCCGCCACUUUGAAUCUGGGCAAAAUUUGCAGGGAAAAUGGCUGGACCUGGUGUAUUAUAUGGGUAGAUGCCAUGUUUCACCCUAGGUGAUCUUUCAAUGACAUUUCAGGUUUUUGAAAAUAUUUCGUU